AAAUAUAUUAUAUAUUUGAGACUCUUCAAAGUAGCCACCCUUUGCCUUGCCUUGAUGACAGCUUUAAACACUCUUGGCAUUCUCUCAACCAGCUUCAUGAGGUAGUCACCUGGAAUUCAUUUCAAUUACCAGGUGUGCCUUGUUAAAAGUUAAUUUGUAGAAUUUCUUUCCUUUCCUUCUUUCCUGAGUUUGAGCCAAUCAGUUGUGUUGUGACUAGGGUGGUAUACAGAAGAUAGCAUAUUUGGUAAAAGACCAAGUCCAUAUUACGGCAAGAACAGCUCAAAUAAGCAAAGAGAAACAACAGUCCGUCAUUACUUUAAGACAUGAAGGUCAGUCAAUGCAGAACAUUUCCAGAACGUUGAAAGUUUUUUUCAAGUGCAGUAGCAAAAACCAUCAAGCGCUAUCAUGAAACUGGCUCUCAUGAGGACCGCCACAGGAAAGGAAGACCCAGAGUUACUUCUGAUGCAGAGGAUAAGUUCGUUAGAGUUACCAGCCUCAGAAAUUGCAGCCCAAAUAAAUGCUUCAGAGUUCAAGUAGCAGACACAUCUCAACAUCAACUGUUCAGAGGAGACUGUGUGAAUCAUACCUUCAUGGUCGGAUUGCUCUAAAGAAACCACUACUAAAGGACACCAAUAAGAAGAAGAGACUUGCUUGGGCCAAGAGACAUGAGCAAUGGACAAUGGACAUUAGACCGGUGGUCUGAUUAAUCCAAAUUUUAGAUGUUUUGUUCCAACCGCCAUGUUUUUGUGAGACACAGAGUAGGUGAACAGAUGAUCUCUGAAUGUGUGGUUCCCACCGUGAAGCAUGGAGGUGGUGGUGUGAUGGUGCUUUGCUGGUGACACUCUGUGAAUUAUUUAGAAUUCAAGGCAUACUUAACCAACACGGCUAUGACAGCAUUCUGCAGCGAUACACCAUCCAAUCUGGUUUGCGCUUAGUGGGACUAUCAUUUGUUUUUCAACAGGACAAUGACCCAAAAUACACCUCCAGGCUGUGUAAGGGCUAUUUGACCAUGAAAGAGUGUGAUGGAGUGCCUCAUCAGAUGACCUGGCCUCCAUAAUCCCUCGACCUCAACCCAAUUGAGAUGGUUUGGAAUGAGUUGGACUGCAGAGUGAAGGAAAAGCAGCCAUAAAGUGCUCAGCAUAGGUGGGAACUCCUUCAAGACUGUUGGAAAAGCAUUCCAGGUGAAGCUGGUUGAGAGAAUGCCAAGAGAGUGCAAAGCUGUCAUCAAGGCAAAGGAUGGCUACUUUGAAGAAUCUCACACUUUUUUGGUUACUACAUGAUUCCAUGUGUUAUUUCAUAGUUUUGAUGUCUUCAAUAUUAUUAUACAAGGUAAAAAUAAAGAAAAACCCUUGAAUGAGUAGGUGUCCAAACUUUGGACUGGUACUGUACAUUCUAGGUUGUGUGUUGGUGGGUGGGUGUUCGUAUGUGUGUAUACAAUAUGUAUGCUACAUAGUUCAAGUCACUUGGAAUAUUUUAGCAUCACUGUCCAGCUACAGUAGAAUAAUGGUUACAUGAACAUUUCAGAAAUAUCCACAUUUUUCCACCAUAAUUGUCUUUAUGGAACGACAAGGACAAUAAGGGCCUUCUGAAAUGCCAUAACCAUCAACCAAACAAUCACGUCUGUCAGAACACUUCAGGGUUCGACUGCGUCUAACCCUGCUUCUCAAAACAAGUUAACCAUCCAUGUACCCUACCAUCCUCUACUGUCUGCGCUCUAUUUCCUUUGGUUCUUGAAAGGGGGUAUAAUACGCUACAGAGAUGGAGAACACGAGGCCAAGACUGGGGGACAUUAGCCUAAAUGUGUCACCAACCUUAACCAGCAUUGAGCUUGACUGGCUACAUUAACUAAAUUCCCGACUAGACUUGCUGUUCUGUUCUCCCGAUUUCAAUGCCCUGGUGUGUCUUGCUCUAAAAGGCAGCCCACUCUUGUUUCACUCUGAACGCUCCAUUUGAUAUUUCAUCUUAAAGCAGCUGUUUUUCAUUUUAACUUUCGCAACCUCCAAAUUGGGACAUCAGUUAACUUCGGGAAAAAAGGUUACUUUGAGAGGAUAUUGACUGAUUUUGAUGCCCGCCAAAUAACUGUCUUCUGCCCAUUUCUCUUCUAUGAAAUCAAGUGUAACUAAUGCAUGGUGUCAGAGGGAACUGAAAACUUAAUGAAUCUACAUUGACUUAUCUUGAAGUCCCUAUCAUGGUAGCAGGCUAGCACCAUGGUUCUCAGGCAAGCUAUUACACUGGGAAAAAAACAAAGUGUCAUACAACUAGUGUUUCUCGUUAAAUAUAGCUCAUAGUGUAGAGAUUAACAGCAAAGUUCAAUAAAAUCACCAAAUCAAGAGAGACAACCAAACCCUGUAUCUGUCUUCGAAUUACUACAUUGUAAGCAAAAACAAAACAUUUUAGUACAAAAGUG
rnacentral:lncRNA from 1 species